rnacentral:tRNA from 1 species
GGGGUUGUGGUGUAGCUUGGACGAGCAUCGGGCAUUCGGGAUGCCCAGACCCCGGUCCAAAUCCGGGCAACCCCA